AAGUCGUAACAAGGUUUCCGUAGGUGAACCUGCGGAAGGAUCAUUACCGUACUUUAUACUAACAAGUAUAUAAAAGCAAAACGAGGAGUUUACAAGUUGAACGUGAAAAAAAAUGUGUUUAACUUGAAAAAAAUUUCCAAGUUUUAGCAACCUUUCUACAGAGUCUCUUUGUGUAUAGAAUUUGUAGACGUGUUUGUACCAGUGUUGUCUUGCACGUUAAAUACCCCAAGUUUGAGAUUUGAAAAAUGUAAAAUAUCAUCUCUUACUUUAACGCUCACUCGCGUAAGCGGGGAGCAAUGCAUUAUUCAAAUGUGAAUAAUAAAAUAAAAACUUUAAAAAAAAGACAAAAAUCAACCUCGAGUGGUGGAUCACUCGGCUCGUGG
rnacentral:misc_RNA from 1 species